GUGAGUCAUCGAAUCUUUGAACGCACCUUGCGCCCCUUGGCCAUUCCGAGGGGCAUGCCUGUUUGAGUAUCAUGAACACCUCAACUCUCAUGGUUUACCAUGAUGAGCUUGGAUUUUGGGGGUUUUGCUGGCCUGUGGUCAGCUCCUCUCAAAUGGAUCAGCUUACCAGUAUUUGGUGACGUCACAGGUGUGAUAACUAUCUACGCUCGUGGUCGUCUGCCAAGUAACCUUUGGCGACGGAGGUUUGCUGGAGCUUAUAAAUGUCUCUCCUCGGUGAAGACAGCUUUUCGACCGUUCGAUCUCAAAUCAGGUAGGACUACCCGCUGAACUUAAGCAUAUCAAUAAGCGGAGG
rnacentral:rRNA from 1 species